GUAGCUCAGGAAAUCAAGGAUGAUAUCGCAGAGACGAUAAGAACUGGCGGCGCCGAGGUGGGUUUCGCGAGGCCUGGAUUGGCAGUGCUUCAGGUGGGAGAUAGCCCUCAAUCGCAAGCUUACAUUCAUAACUUACGAACAGCGUGCACAGAAGUUGGAAUCAAAUCCUUCGCUUCGCAGCUGCCCGAAACAGCGACGCUCCAGGCGAUCAUACAGGCGCUUCGAACGUUCAAUGGAGACGAGAGCGUUCAUGGCAUCGUCGUCCAGCUCCCACUGCCAAAGGUAAGAAAUCACCCACGACUUGGCUCUUCAUCGUUACUUGCCUCACUGUUUCAGAAGAUCCGGCCGGAAACCGUGCUCCAAGAGAUAAGUCUCGAGAAAGAUGUGGAUGGCCUCCAUCCCCUCA
rnacentral:lncRNA from 1 species